rnacentral:rRNA from 1 species
UUAAUUGAAGAGUUUGAUCAUGGCUCAGAUUGAACGCUGGCGGCAGGCCUAACACAUGCAAGUCGAGCGGCAGCACAGAGGAACUUGUUCCUUGGGUGGCGAGCGGCGGACGGGUGAGUAAUGCCUGGGAAAUUGCCCGGUAGAGGGGGGAUAACCAUUGGAAACGAUGGCUAAUACCGCAUAACCUCGCAAGAGCAAAGCAGGGGACCUUCGGGCCUUGCGCUACCGGAUAUGCCCAGGUGGGAUUAGCU